GAUGAACGCUGGCGGCGUGCUUAACACAUGCAAGUCGAACGGAAAGGCCCAAGCUUGCUUGGGUACUCGAGUGGCGAACGGGUGAGUAACACGUGGGUGAUCUGCCCUGCACUUCGGGAUAAGCCUGGGAAACUGGGUCUAAUACCGGAUAGGACCACUUCUUGGAUGUUGUGGUGGAAAGUUUUUUCGGUGUGGGAUGAGCUCGCGGCCUAUCGGCUUGUUGGUGGGGUAAUGGCCUACCAAGGCGUCGACGGGUAGCCGGCCUGAGAGGGUGUACGGCCACAUUGGGACUGAGAUACGGCCCAGACUCCUACGGGAGGCAGCAGUGGGGAAUAUUGCACAAUGGGCGCAAGCCUGAUGCAGCGACGCCGCGUGGGGGAUGACGGCCUUCGGGUUGUAAACUCCUUUCGCUAGGGACGAAGCGUUUUGUGACGGUACCUGGAGAAGAAGCACCGGCUAACUACGUG
rnacentral:rRNA from 1 species